AUAUAUAGCCGUCAGCCGGUGACCAAUCAGAAGGAGCCGUAGAAGUGAAAGGUUUUUAAACAGAAAGCACAUCCAGUUCUGGCAGUAGCAAUUCCCAUUCCCUAUAGAAGAUCGCCAACGAUGGGGUUAAAACUUCCAAGUGAUCAUUUGCGCAUCUGGGAGAGAGACUCAGGGGGUACCAUCCAUAUUCUCUUUUUCUAAGCUUGUAAGAUUUGUGCGCAACCGUGCUUGUAUGUAGCAAAACUCCCUAUCAGUUUUUCUAUAUACAGUCUAUUUCGCGCACGACUUGCGCACUCCCAUAUGACGUGGUGGUAGUUUAAAAAAAAAUGAAAACAUGAAGAAGACAGCAAGACGACGGAUGCAAACCCACGAUGCAAAUACCAGGCUCCAUUUUUCCCAGCAUUUGAGCACUCUGCAUUGUCGCCAAUUGUGGGUGUCUCUGUCAUCUCUGCCACCAUUUCUCCCCCAUGUUGCCACAUCCACGCACUCGCCAGAAGUGAUCUCAUGCCAGCUCUCUCUCUCUCUGAUUGUGAGUAUUCUUGGAUCGUCAUAUCUUGGGUUUCCCCAACCGCCACUCCUCGUCGUCUCAUAUCUGUUGGUUGGAUUCCAUUGAUUUGCUUUAACUAUAACCAUUACAUCUUAAUGGUGGAAGCAUUGAUUUUGUUUUAGAAAUUAUUUAUACACUAAGGAAGUGCUUUUCUUUGUAUGCAAUAACCUACUACAUUGACUCUUCUCGCAUAACCCACAACAUCGACCCUUCUCGCAUUUACGUAGCCCGAAAUAUCGCAUAACCCUCUCUUCUCCUUCAGACCCUCUCUUGCAAACUUGCUCGUACUCGUGCAAUGGAAGUUUCUGACUCCCUCUCGCACGAUGCAAUUUGGGGUGGAUGGAACACAACAGGAUAGCUUGGCUGGGACACAACCGGACCUGUAUGGAGCUAUGCUUGGGGAUAUCGAACGAGAUCGGAAUGAGGAGUGAUGUAAUCUGGUCUUGCAGUUUACUGCAACUAAUUAUAUGAUCUUAAAUUACAUUGAUGAAGACAAGGAGUGCCUCUUAUUUAUGGGAUUUUCAGUGGUUGAACCACUUUUUUCAUGAUGAUUAAGGGGUUUUUCUCAUUUAUUUGGAAGCACCGCCUACUAUUUUUUUUUUUUCAUUUUUUUAAGUUUAUAUGAUUUUUCAUGUAAAAAGCACCACCGAAUUUUGCUAUUAAUGGAUAUCAACUGCUUGUCUUUGGCGUUUCA